AUACAUGUUUUAAAAUACAGUUUUUCUCCAACCAACAGUUUGGAGAAAAUACUUUUUUUUUUAACAUUGAGUUAGCCAAACCAGACCAAACCAAGCCAAACCAAACCAAACUGAGCCAAACCAGACCAAACCGAGCCAAACCAAACCAUACCACUGACUACGACUCAUAGAACACGAAGGAUAACACAAAUACCAGAUGACUCCCAAAUGGCACGCUAUUUCCUAUGGGACCUAGUUGAAAGAAGUGCACUAUAAAAGAGAAUAGGGUGCCAUUUAGGGGUGGCAGGAAGCCUAGUGGUUAGAGUGUAGAGGUGGCAGGGUAGCCUAGUGGUUAGAGUGUAGAGGUGGCAGGGUAGCCUAGUGGUUAGAGUGUAGAAGUGGCAGGUAGCCUAGUGGUUAGAGUGUAGAGGUGGCAGGUAGCCUAGUGGUUAGAGUGUAGAGGUGGCAGGUAGCCUAGUGGUUAGAGUGUAGAGGUGGUAGGUAGCCUAGUGGUUAGAGUGUAGAGGUGGCAGGUAGCCUAGUGGUUAGAGUGUAGAGGUGGCAGGGUAGCCUAGUGGUUAGAGUGUAGAGGGGGCAGGUAGCCUAGUGGUUAGAGUGUAGAGGGGGCAGGGUAGCCUAGUGGUUAGAGUGUAGAGGUGGCAGGAAGCCUAGUGGUUAGAGUGUAGAGGUGGCAGGUAGCCUAGUGGUUAGAGUGUAGAGGUGGCAGGUAGCCUAGUGGUUAGAGUGUAGAGGUGGCAGGGUAGCCUAGUGGUUAGAGUGUAGAGGUGGCAGGAAGCCUAGUGGUUAGAGUGUAGAGGUGGCAGGUAGCCUAGUGGUUAGAGUGUAGAGGUGGCAGGUAGCCUAGUGGUUAGAGUGUAGAGUUGGCAGGUAGCCUAGUGGUUAGAGUGUAGAGGUGGCAGGUAGCCUAGUGGUUAGAGUGUAGAGAUGGCAGGUAGCCUAGUGGUUAGAGUGUAGAGGUGGCAGGUAGCCUAGUGGUUAGAGUGUAGAGGUGGCAGGUAGCCUAGUGGUUAGAGUGUAGAGGUGGCAGGUAGCCUAGUGGUUAGAGUGUAGAGGUGGCAGGUAGCCUAGUGGUUAGAGUGUAGAGGUGGCAGGUAGCCUAGUGGUUAGAGUGUAGGGGCGGCAGGUAGCCUAGUGGUUAGAGUGUAGAGGUGGCAGGUAGCCUAGUGGUUAGAGUGUAGAGGUGGCAGGUAGCCUAGUGGUUAGAGUGUAGAGGUGGCAGGUAGCCUAGUGGUUAGAGUGUAGAGGUGGCAGGUAGCCUAGUGGUUAGAGUGUAGGGGCGGCAGGUAGCCUAGUGGUUAGAGUGUAGGGGCGGCAGGUAGCCUAGUGGG